rnacentral:lncRNA from 1 species
CUCUGGAGGAAUGAGUCCCUUUUGCAGCCACAAGACAAAUCUGUCAGAAUGAUGUCUUUUUUCUAGAUGGGGUCUGGGUGACAGAGUGCAGUGCCUCUUAUUGCAACUUCCAGCUCCCAGGCUCAAGCCAUCUUCCCACCUCAGCUACCAGAGUAGCUGGGACUACAGGACCGUGCCACCAUACCUGGCUAAUUUUUGUAUUUUUUGUAGAGACGGGGUUUCGCCAUGUUGCCAAGGCUGGUCUUGAACUCCUGGGCUCAAGUGAUCCUCCUCACUGGCUUCCCAAAGUGCUAGGAUUACAGAAGUGAUCCACCACAUCUGGCCACCUUUACUUUCUUUUCAGGAGAUUUUUCACAGUUUAAAAGGUUCUGCUGCUUACAAUUUCUCAGCUCAACAAUGACUUUGCAAUCCAGGCAGGACAGCCCACUUGGAACAUUGGUGCCUGUGCCAAAGAGUGAACAGCGGGCCAGUGGAAUCCAGUGUUCCUACGUCCUUCUGCUCUGACUCCUCCUGACUUGUCCAGUCUUAUUAACUGCCACGCUCAUGCGGCCAUGUACACUCCCCGAAUUCAGCACUACUUGUAUCAUCUUAAGCCAAGAGAUUGAUAAACUCCAGAAAUAAUCUCAGAAAUAAAUGUUGAAUAUUUCUAAAUCUGACUGAUUUUGUUGGUAUCUGACUGUUAUGGAAUUGUCAUCUAUGUUCCCAAGCAGAC